rnacentral:rRNA from 9 species
UGUAUUCGACCUGAGC